UCCCUGGAGGACUAAUGGUUAGGCCACAGCGCUGUCAGCACUACGGCCCGGGUUCGAUUCCCAGCCACAGUG